rnacentral:misc_RNA from 1 species
GAAAUGCGAUAAGUAGUGUGAAUUGCAGAAUUCAGUGAAUCAUCGAAUCUUUGAACGCACAUUGCGCCCCUCGGUAUUCCGUGGGGCAUGCCUGUUCGAGCGUCAUUUACACCCCCAAGCUCUGCUUGGUGUUGGGCGCCUGUCCCGCUCUCUGCGCGGACUCGCCCUAAAGCUAUUUGCAGCGGUCAUGCCAGCUUCUCGCGCAGCACAUUGCGCUUCUUGAGGCCCCGGCUAGGCAGCGUCCAUAAAAGUCUACCUCCACAGUUUGACCUCGGAUCAGGUAGGGAUACCCGCUGAACUUAA